UGUAUAAUAAUGUAAUAAUUUAUUGUAUUUAAACAAUUUUAACAUGGACAAAAGUUUUCAAACACCAUUUUUUCAUACUUUUUCUAUGAACAUUCCUCACUUACAUAUUUUUUUACCUACAAUUAAAAUAUAUAAAAACAUCACAUUAAGACUGUCUUAUUUGCUACUUUUGGUGUUUACAUUUUCUUUAUGGAUAAAUGCUAAACAAAGUUUAUCAAAUGCUACUUUAUGAGGCUCCAACAUGGUGAAACAUAGAGGGCAACAGGCCCGAUUUUGAAAUGUGACCAUGUGACCUAUGAGGAGUAUUCUACUACUGGAGACCCCUUCAAAUACAACAAUACUAAAUGGGUAUCAAAAGUACUACAGUUGAGGUAAAAUAUAAACUUCUCAAAAACAGCAACAGUAUAAAAAUAUCUUUAAAAUCAAUCAGAUGGACAAAUGAAAUACAUAUUAUGUCUCUACUUUUAGGCUCAUAGAAGUAACAUUCAAGUGGAUUUCUGACCUUGCAAAAUUUUGUGCAUAAAAAGGCAAACUGUAAUUUUGGAAAAUAAGGCAUCUGUAUACAAAGUAAGAUAUGAGGUAUCAGUGUUUUAACCUUCUGAAAUGUAAAUUAAAGCUUAAAAAAAUGAGUACAUUUCUUCUUUCACCACAUAAAUAGCCCUCAGGGGGCACAAGUCUUGCAAUCUGUAAGUUUAUUAUCAUGAUCACACACAAGACAAACAAAAUUACAUUAAAUCUUUUUAACAAAAAACAAGCAUGUUGUCUCUAAUAAAUAACCAACAUGAACUAAACAAAAACAAAAUAAAAGUACUUUCAUGACUUUGGAACAAGUGUAUUGAUUCAAAUAACUCAUUGUGUAAAAACUUUGAAAUUGUGCUGUUAAACCAAAUCAAACACACAACAAAGUGCAUGCAACAAUCAAAAGUUUAACAUGUUUAAUUAAUCAAUGAUGUUUUUCAAUGUUGACAACCUUUGAUAAAACAAAUCUUUAAUUUACUUCCUGAUGCAGGAAAAAAUUGUGAAACAAAUUACAUUUUAUUGAGGAACCUGAGGGUUUUUUCAGAUUAGCAAAAAGUUGGCAAAAUCUUUAGGAAUGUGGGGUUGUGAGAAAAUCAGAGUAUCAGCAAUGUUAUGUAAUUUUCAUGGGUUUUGUGGGUACAAGUUGACCACAAAUUUUAAUGUUCAACAAAUUUACUAUAGGGUUUGUUUGCACACAUAAACAAAAUCACGAAAUAAAUAUCCAUGAAAAUGCAAAUUUUCCUUAAUCCAUGAAAAUUGAUGGUUAUGAAAAUCAGAGUAUCUCCUUAAUAUUUCAGCUCAGGAUGACUUGUUCAAAAAGAUCCUUUAAAAUCCAUGUAAAUCUUAUAAACAUUGAUAAUUCCUAAUCACAAUAACACAUUAUUCAGCUUGACAAAAAUGUUGUUAGACAAGAUUUAUAUCUAUUAUACAUCGAUUUUCAAACUUUGUUUUAAAAGAAGAAUAUUUACAAUUGUAACUUUAAUAUAGUCCUAUACAAAAAGACAAAACAUACAAAAUAAUCAUAUCUAAACCUGCAGUGGGUAGCUUUUCUGUAAAACAACUUUAUAAACUUCUAUCUACUCAAUCUUAAAUACUGUAAAUUCAUAAAAAUCUAAACAUAAUACAAAACAAUAAUAAGGUGUAACACAAUUUAUAAAACUGGCCUGCAUUUCUUUUUAAAGCUAAUAAAAUAGUACUUUUCCUGUCUCCUAGACUUUACUAAAUAUUCAUGCCUACUCUAACACAUUUUAAUAGGCAUUCAAAUUUUAAAAAAUGUUCCAUACAGGUAGUCAGGUAAUAGUUUAUACAAAAU
rnacentral:lncRNA from 1 species